UAUUAUUCCCCCCCAUUUCCCCCCUGAUAACCAUAAAUUUGUUUUCUGCAUCUGUGAUUUUGUUUCGGAAACCACUGUGAGUCUUACAGGAAUCUAUCUUAUAUGGCCUUUGUUGUUGUGGCUCAGUCGCUAAAUCUUGUCUGAUUCUUUGCGACCCCAUGGACUGCAGCAUGCCAGGCUUCCCUGUCCUUCACUAUCUCCUGGAGUUUGCUCAAGCUGGUGUCCACUGAAUCAGUAAUGCCAUCCAACCAUCUCAU